rnacentral:siRNA from 1 species
AACAUCCUGGCUGAAUCAAGUGAA